CCUACGGGAGGCAGCAGUGGGGAAUAUUGGGCAAUGGGCGCAAGCCUGACCCAGCAACGCCGCGUGAAGGAAGAAGGCUCUCGGGUUGUAAACCUCUUUUCUCAGGGACGAAGAAAGUGACGGUACCGGAGGUAUAAGCCACGGCUAACUACGUGCAAGCAGCCGCGGUAAUACGUAGGUGGCAAGCGUUAUCCGGAUUUAUGGGGUGUAAAGGGCGUGUAGGCGGGGGCGGAAAUCAGUUGUGAAAACACUGGGCUCAACCCCGAGCCUGGAUUUGAAACUGUGUAUCUUGAGUGCUGGAGAGGCAAUCGGAAUUCCGUGUGUAGCGGUGAAAUGCGUAGAUAUACGGAAGAACACCAGUGGCGAAGGCAGAUUGCUGGACAGUAACUGACGCUGAGGCGCGAAAGCGUGGGGAGCAAACAGGAUUAGAUACCCGAGUAGUC
rnacentral:rRNA from 1 species